UUCGCCCUUAGAGUUUGAUCCUGGCUCAGAUUGAACGCUGGCGGAACGCUUUACACAUGCAAGUCGAACGGUAACGUGGGGAGGAGCUUGCUCCACCCCGACGACAAGUGGCGAACGGGUGAGUAAUACAUCGGAACGCGUCCGCUUGUGGGGGACAACCAGCCGAAAGGUUGGCUAAUACCGCAUGAGUUCUACGGAAGAAAGAGGGGGACCCGCAAGGGCCUCUCGCGAGCGGAGCGGCCGAUGACUGAUUAGCCGGUUGGUGAGGUAACGGCUCACCAAAGCAACGAUCAGUAGCUGGUCUGAGAGGACGACCAGCCACACUGGGACUGAGACACGGCCCAGACUCCUACGGGAGGCAGCAGUGGGGAAUUUUGGACAAUGGGCGCAAGCCUGAUCCAGCUAUUCCGCGUGUGGGAUGAAGGCCCUCGGGUUGUAAACCACUUUUGUAGAGAACGAAAAGACAUCUUCGAAUAAAGGAUGUUGCUGACGGUACUCUAAGAAUAAGCACCGGCUAACUACGUGCCAGCAGCCGCGGUAAUACGUAGGGUGCGAGCGUUAAUCGGAAUUACUGGGCGUAAAGGGUGCGCAGGCGGUUGAGUAAGACAGAUGUGAAAUCCCCGAGCUUAACUCGGGAAUGGCAUAUGUGACUGCUCGACUAGAGUGUGUCAGAGGGAGGUGGAAUUCCACGUGUAGCAGUGAAAUGCGUAGAUAUGUGGAAGAACACCGAUGGCGAAGGCAGCCUCCUGGGACAUAACUGACGCUCAGGCACGAAAGCGUGGGGAGCAAACAGGAUUAGAUACCCUGGUAGUCCACGCCCUAAACGAUGUUAACUAGUUGUUGGGAUGUAACAAUCUCAGUAACGCAGCCAACGCGAGAAGUUAACCGCCUGGGAAGUACGGUCGCAAGACUAAAACUCAAAGGAAUUGACGG
rnacentral:rRNA from 1 species